UACAGAGACUGCAAGCGUUAUUCGGACUCACUGGGCGUAAAGGGUGCGCAGGUGGCCAAGUGUGUUAGGCGUGAAAGCCCGGGGCUUAACCCCGGAAUUGCACCUAAAACUACUUGGCUAGAGCAUUGGAGAGGGGAGCAGAAUUCACGGUGUAGCAGUGAAAUGCGUAGAUAUCGUGAGGAAUACCAGAGGCGAAGGCGGCUCCCUGGACAAUUGCUGACACUCAGGCACGAAAGCGUGGGGAGCAAAAGGG
rnacentral:rRNA from 1 species